GAAAUUAGCUCAAAAUGUUCAACGAAAAGAGUAGAUCAAGGUGUCAUUGGGUGCUAAAUAGCAAGGGGAUUCAGUUUUGUGGGUUAAACGGGAUCAAAACUCACUCAUUUUGGCUAGAAAUUGGGGGCAUUUUUGAGGAAGAAGAAGAGGAGAAGAAGAAUAGAAGGUGCAGGCAGGAAAAAGAAGAGGGCUCGGUGGGUUUGCUUGGGCUCACGCGAUGGGAAGGGAGGAAAGGAAAGGGAAAGAGAAAAAGGAGAAAAGAGAAAAAGAAGAUUCCCUCGGCC
rnacentral:lncRNA from 1 species